rnacentral:rRNA from 1 species
UACGUAGGGGGCAAGCGUUGUCCGGAAUCAUUGGGCGUAAAGCGCGUGUAGGCGGUUCGGUAAGUCGGCUGUGAAAGUCCAGGGCUCAACCCUGGGAUGCCGGUCGAUACUGCCGGACUAGAGUUCGGAAGAGGCGAGUGGAAUUCCCGGUGUAGCGGUGAAGUGCGCAGAUAUCGGGAGGAACACCAGUGGCGAAGGCGGCUAUCUGGGCUGAAACUGACGCUGAGGCGCGAAGGCUAGGGGAGCAAACAGG